GUCGGAACGAAACGGCUCUCUCUAAUAAAGGGGGCUAAUGACGGUACCGUAAGAAUAAGCACCGGCUAACUCCGUGCCAGCAGCCGCGGUAAUACGGAGGGGGCUAGCGUUGUUCGGAAUUACUGGGCGUAAAGCGCACGCAGGCGGUUGGAUAAGUUAGAUGUGAAAGCCCCGGGCUCAACCUGGGAAUUGCAUUUAAAACUGUCCAGCUAGAGUCUUGUAGAGGGGGGUAGAAUUCCAGGUGUAGCGGUGAAAUGCGUAGAGAUCUGGAGGAAUACCGGUGGCGAAGGCGGCCCCCUGGACAAGGACUGACGCUCAGGUGCGAAAGCGUGGGGAGCAAACAGGAUUAGAUACCCUGGUAGUCCAAGGGCGAAU
rnacentral:rRNA from 1 species